AAACGGAUUUGUUCUUAUCUUCAUCUUCUUUCUCCGUUCUCUAUUUUUCGUUUGACACUGUCCCUCUUCUCUCUAUCUCUCUCGAAAAACCUAAUCCCCUAAUUCCCGUCGUUCUCUCCUCGAUUGGCUAUUCUCUCCUUCUGGCCUGGAUCAUUUCUCUCGUUUCCGGAGGCAUUGUGGAGGCCACGGAGGAAACCAUUAUGGCCGGUGUGCUCUCUCUCCUCUCUCUGCGGCCUACUUCCUCUUAGGGUUUUUUUAUUGUGUUUCAGUUAUCAUCCACAAAGUCGUUUUGUCCCAAAACGACAAUUCCAAGAACCACUGCCUCAUGUCGAGUGAUGAUGCCGGGAAACCCGUACCCUACCCUUGUCGGCGCCCCACCGGAGAAGGUAGCAGCAGCUCCAGUUUCUCUCACCGCAAGCCCGCCAAAUGUCUCCAUUAUUUCAAUGACGUAGGGAGGAUGGAUCUGAUUCUAGCUGUGGGGUAGAGGGUGAAGGUGAAUGUGAUGAAUCUGACGUAGCAAAAGUUUUCUCAUUUCUGGAACCUCCCAAUCUAUGCAAAGCUGCUAGGGUUUGUAUGCAGAGGAUCCCCUGAUGACCAUAAUUACGGGUGAAUGAUGGGUUGGCAUGAACUACAAAUUACUAACAGUUUUAGAAUUAUAAUGUAAUGAAUGUGUUGAUUUUGGAAUGUGAUUUCUCAUUGGUAGUUAUUGUUUGUGUCUUUGUAGUGGGAGAAGAAGUGUGAUGCUCUGUAAGUUAAGUAUUUUUGUAAGUUUGUUAUUUUUGUAAUGAUGUUCAUAUGGUUUGUUUUAAUGUUUGUUGUCGGUCACAGAUGGUGAGGAGUGAUGGAUUUAAGAUCGGGCAACAUUGCAAAAACAGUAUCUGCAUAGAAGGACUAUGAAGGAAGAUCUCAGUGAAAUCUUCAUUGAGAUUAUUGAAAGGUGUUGACAAUGGCCCAAUGUAAGUUUAUCUCACUGAUAUCAAAUGGCACUUGCUAGGUGUUUAGCAUUGGUUUGUCGAAUGAUACUCUUUUCGAGGAUUGGAAGGGCUGAGACGGUAAGGCAUCUACUUUGGUAAAGGUCUUGAUUUUAACUGUUUGUGUGAUCUCUUCAGAUCUGUAUCAUUAUCAUAACCUGAGAAAAAAGAAAUUGAUAUCGUGACAUAUCUGUAUCACUAUCUUGUGUAUAAUUGACUUUAGCUUUGGUAUCCUUAAGGAUUUUUUCUUAAAAAUAAAAAUAUAUUGCUGCUUAGGUUAAAAAAAAAGGUUUAAUUUUGUUGAAUUCUGAACAGAUUUAAUGAAAAAUUUUGGAAUAAAUUUACUGUUUUGUCAUCUGUGACGUGUUAAACGUGUAAUUUUGUGUUCGUGUCGUUCCUAUUAUCCAUUUGUUUAAUAGGUGCCUUUACAUUUUGCUCUGACUCUAUCUGAAUUUACUAUUAUUUUAGUUGCAAUCAUUUUUGUAUAUGUCUAUCUUUAUUGAUCCAUUUUGUUUUCUUGGGACUUUGUUUGAUGUGUUUUGAGGAAAUACACAUGAACUAAUUGUUCUAUAUUUUUUUUCCUUUAUAUUGAGGUCCAACUAUGCUUAUCCUAAAGUGCCUCUCUUGAAAAAAUGGGGUCAGAAAAUGGAAAUGAGGUCAGAAAGUCUCAAGAAGCGAUACUCGACGGCAAAAUCAAAUUGGUUACUGAAAGUUCAUGGGUGACGCGACAUGGAGGUUCAGCUCUCUGAUUCUAAUAUCCGGCAGUUCUCCUUGAUAUCCGGAGACACUUUAUUGCAAGAGCCAAAUUGAUUCAACCUCCAGCAUCCCAUUUAGGUUUGUGGUACUCUAACCUCUUGCAAACCCUAACUCUACUGCUUUUGUUCUUGCAAUCCUUUUUGUUCCGGUCUUCUUCCUGUCUUUUUUGAAGUUGGCAUUUUAUUCAUGGGUUAUUGCCUUAUGUAUUUUAAAUUUUUCUAAUAAUGGUUUUAUAUUCUUUUAAUUUGAGUGUGACUUCACUAUUAUAUUUUUCAAUUUGUGUUUUCAGCAUGUUUUAGUAGCUUGAUUUGAAUUUGCACGACUUCUGUAGAACUUGCAUUUCCAAUAAAUUAUUCACUGAUAUUUAGUAACUUUAAUUCUUUGGAGACAUUGUUCGGCAUCCCCUUUUUGAGUUUUGAUCAUGGAUUUUGGUAAAGGUCUUGAUUUUAAUUGUUUAUGUGGUCUCUUCGGAUUGGUAUCAUUAUCAUAACAUCAUGAAAAAGAAAUUGAUGUGUAAACAGAUUUGUAUCGUUAUCUUGAUUUGAAUUUUUACAUGACUUCUAUAGACCUUAUAUUUCCAAUAAAUUAUUCACUGAUAUUUAGUAACUCUUAUUCUUUUGGAGACAUUGUUUGGUAUCUCUUUUUUGAGUUUUGAUCAUGUAGUUUGUCAAAGGUCUUGAUUUUUACUGUUUAUGUGAUCUCUUUAGAUCUGUGUCUUUAUUUUAACCUGAGAAAGAAGAGAUUGAUGUCAUGACAGAUCUGUAUCAUUAUCUUGUGAAUAAUUGACUUUAGCUUUGCUUUGUUUAAGGAUUUUAUCUUAAAAAUACGUUGCUGCUUGGUUUUAGAAAAAGGGAAGAAUAAUAUUUUUUAAAUCUGCUUUUUCAUCUAUGAUGUGUUAAACGUGUAAUAUUUGGUUGGUGUCAUUGUUACUGUCAAUUUGUUUUACAGGCGCCUUUUCAUCGUCUUCUAAAUCUAUAUGAAUUUACUGUAACUUUAGCUGCAAUCCUUUUGGUAUAUGGUUAUGCUUAUUGAUCUGUUGUGUUUUCUUAGGAUUAUAUUAGAUGUAUUUUGAGUAAAUACACAUGAACUAACUUUUUUUUUUGUUUUUCUUCCUUUUAUAUUAUGGUACUCUAACCUCUUGCAAUCUCUAACUCUACUACUUUCGUUCUUGCAAUCCUUUUUGUUCCCGUCUUUUUCCUAUCUUUUUGAAGUUGGCAUUUUAUUGAUGGGUUAUUACCUUACGUAUUUUAAUUUUUUCUAAUAGUGGUUUUAUAUUCUUUUAAUUUGAGAGUGACUUUACUAUUAUAUUUUUUAAGAUGUGUUUUCAACAUGUAAUAAAAUCUUGGUUUUAAUUUACACAACUUCUGUAGAACAUAUGUUUUGAAUAAAUUAUUGACUGAGAUUUAGUUGCUGUGAUUCUUUUGGAGACAUGGUUUAGUAUCUCCUUUUUCAGUAUCUCCUUUUGUAUUCUUUUAUGAAAGGUUCUAUUUUUAGGGGUUCUCUUUUUCCUUUCUCGAUUUCACGCCUUGAGCUACUAAGGUUUCUUAUGCUUUCUUUAAUAUUAAUAUUGCAAGAUAAAUUAGGCUUUAAGAUGUGGCAAAUAUUUGUUUUAUCAAUUCUUAUGUAUAAUUGACUUUAGCUUUGCUUUGGUUAAAGAUGUUGUCUUUAGAAUAAAAAUAUUUUUCUUUUGGUUUAGAAAAAAAGGAAGAAUAAUUUUUUAGAAUUCUGAACUCUAACUUUAUGAAUUUUUUUAGAUUAAAUUUGUUGUUUUUUCAUUUGUGACGUGUUAAACGUGUAUUUUUUGUUGGGUCAUUGUUAUUAUCUAUCUGUUUUAUAUGUGCCUUUUCAUUUUCUUCUAAAUCUAUAUCAAUUUACUGUUAUUUUAAUUGCAAUCUUUUGGUAAAUAGUUAUAUUUAUUGAUUAAAUGUGUUUCGUUGGAAUUUUACUUGACCUGUUUUGAAUAAAUACAUAUGAACUAAAUUUUUUUUAUAUAUAUUUUUUUUAUUUUGAUUUCUGUUUGUAUUAUUACCUUUAAUUGUAUUGAUUUUUAGCCGUAAAUAGUUUUGGCUGAAAAUUGUUAUAGUUGUGAAAAGAUUAAUUCAAACCUAUUUUUUUCCAUUCUUCUUUGUGGUAUUUGUUUUUUGAGUAAUGAACUUGUUUUUGAGAAUCAAAUACUACAACUUCUGAGAUGAGUCCGAUGAUUUCUUUGAACUCUCCGAGUUUGGGAUUAUGGGAUUGAUCAGUUCAUUGAGUUAUUCAUGCCACUCUUUUUCUGAGAAGUUUUUGUAUUUGAUUCUUUUGCCAUAUUCUUUAAAAUCAAAUUAAUAAAAAAUUUAUCUUUGUUUGUUACUCUCUUUUAUUUAUAUCUUCAUUCCUUGAUUGCAUUUUUUUCUUUUUAGCACAAUUUUUGAACUUUAUUGAUGACCUCUUUCUUCUUGGGUAUUUAACUACAUAGGUAACUAGCUUGUGUGUAUCUUCAUAUUUUUUUCAUUGAAAAUAUAAUUUAUAGGAAGUCUAAUAAAAGAAUGAUAUCUAUACUAAAAGGUGUCAUUAUCCAAGUCUACCACCCCUGGAUCUACGCAUAGGUUUUCUUUUUAUUUAGGUUCUCACUUUUCUCUGUAUUACCUCAUGUUGUUUUUGUUAUCUUUCUAAUCUCUCUCCUCCUCUUGUCAUCCAAUCCUCUUUCUUGCUCAUAUCUAUUGCUGUUAGUUUACCAUUUAUAUAGAGGAUAACUAGGGGCGCCUGUUUACUGGAUAUAUCUAUUUGUGUAUCUAUUGCUGUUAGCUUAGGGUCUAUGAAGGAGAUUACUUAUCACUUAUUGGCUACCCUACCUAGUGUCUGGGUGCAAAUAUCCUUCACUAGAUAUCUGAGGUCACCAAAUAUCAGGAAGAUGAUGAUUUCUAGAAUUCGUAUGAUCAAAUCAUUGAAAGUGAAGAGGAGUAUGUUAUUGGACUUGGAGAAGGCUGUGUUGAGGAUGAACAAAAGGAAAAGGCUCCCUUAAAGAAGUUGAGAAGGUGCUUGAAGAUUAAGUUUGAUGAAUUCAAUAAGGAUGAUACUGCAUCUGUACAAGGGGUUAAGUGACAUGGGUCUUCAUGUAAUUUACCUACCUAGAGCUACUAAUUAGGACAUUGGGUCAUUAGCAUAUAGGCAAAGUUAAGUAUGUAGCCCUCUAUGUUUGGAGACCGUGUAUGUGAAAUUCAAUAAAAUGCGUAGCGCUCAUUGCUCUCUGUUAGAA